rnacentral:lncRNA from 1 species
CCACCCUUUCCUUCCUUUCAUUCUCAUCCAUAAGGGACAUUUGCCUUCUCUUUAAAACACAAACAGGUAGAAUUGAGCUGCUCUGUCCCGAGCAGGCAGCAUUCAUUUAGGGUCUGCUGAGGUCCAAGUGCUGUGAGUACUGCGGGGACAGAGCAGCCUCCGCCCCGACGGAGUUUACUGUCGGAGUUGGGGCUCCAGAAAGAUCCUAACGAUGCAGCACAACAGGAAGCAAAGCACAGGGAAGCAGAAAUGAGAAACAGUAUCUCAGUGCGAGACGACGCUUACUGGCCGGAAGGAAAGCGAGUGGCCCUGGAGGACAGGUACCGCGCUGACUUCCCCCGGCCUGAUCACCGCUUCCACGACUUUGACCACCGAGACCGGGGCCAGUACCAGGACCACAGUGCCGACAGGAGGGAAGGGUCCAGGCCAGGAAUGGGCGAGCGGGACGGGCAGCACUACUCUGAUGACCGCCACGGCCACGGCCACGGCGGCCCCCCUGAGCACCACAGCCGGGACUCCCGCGAUGGCUGGGGAGGCUAUGCUUCCGACAAGAGGCUGAGUGAAGGCCGAGGGCUGCCCCCACCCCCCAGGGGUGGCCGGGACUGGGCGGAGCACAACCCGCGGCUGGAGGAGCACCCCGUCCGUGCCUGGCAGGGCACCGUGGACGCGGGCGCGGUGGGCCGGGAGCACUCGCGCUGGCCAGGUACGGUGGCCUGCGGAGGCCGCGCCCCGGGCAGGGGACUGGGCAGGGCUUUGCAAGCCGCUUCUCUUGCAGGUGCCGAGCGGGGCCUAUCUGGGCCCUCGGGGCCAGGGCACGCAGCGAGUCGGGGCGGCCUGGCGGGGUAAGCAGCGCGGCCGCGGCCCUUUGCUCGCUCCCCUCCGCCUGCCCUGCUCCAGCAUGUAGUCAGCCGGCUCUGGGGGCGGAGGAGCAGACACCGGAGCGCAGCUUAGCAACUGCCUCUCCAGCCCUGGGACGGGUGCGGGGACUCCGUCAGGGCAGCGCCUCCAGGGACCCCGCUCUCUCCCAGGCGCGGCGGCUUCGCACAGGGCGCACACUCCCAGGGUCACGCGGUGCCGGGCGGCAGCCUGGAGGGCGGCGGAGUGACCAGCCAGGACCGCGGCAGCAGGGUCCCGCACCCCUACCCGCACUUCACCCGCCGCUACUAGAGCGCUGCGCCUGUAGGGGGCGCGCGUAAGCCUGCGCUGGACCGGCCGGGCCCAGCGCCCCCGGCCUGGCCGAACCAAACCGAGGCGCCCCGCGGGGACGCAAGCCGCUCUGCUGCCGGGCUGCAGCUCGGUGCAAUGUGAACUCUUUUUUUAAUAAAUGUGUUCUUGUUCUGCCGUUUCUAAGACAAGGUUUCUGUUAACGAGGCAUUCCAUUUUCCAUUAAUAAACGUUUACAGUUCGCACUCGCAUGUGUUGUGUGCAAGUAAGCAUGCCUCACCCAAGCCAGAGCCAGCGCCUGUCCGAAAGUGCGUUCCUGUGUGUUGUCUCCUCUGAUUUCCUCCUUCAGCGACCUUUCAGCAAAACAAUACACACGGCCCCCUUGGGGCCUUGGGCUGCCUGUGUCCCUGGGCCCAGGAAGGGGAGGGGCCCCUUGUCCCCGUGAGGUGC